GGGGCGGUAGCUCAGUUGGGAGAGCACCACGUUCGCAACGUGGGGGUCAUGGGUUCAAAUCCCAUUCGCUCCACCA
rnacentral:tRNA from 1 species